UGCCAGCAGCCGCGGUAAUACGUAAGGGGCAAGCGUUGUCCGGAAUCACUGGGCGUAAAGCGCGCGUAGGUGGUUUGAUAAGUUGGGUGUGAAAUCCUCGGGCUUAACCCGAGAACUGCGCCCAAAACUGUCUCACUGGAGGGACGGAGAGGUACACGGAAUUCCCGGUGUAGGGGUGAAAUCCAUAGAUAUCGGGAGGAACACCAAUGGCGAAGGCAGUGUACUGGACGUUACCUGACACUGAGGUGCGAAAGCGUGGGGAGCGAACGGGAUUAGAUA
rnacentral:rRNA from 1 species